rnacentral:rRNA from 1 species
CACGUAGGGGACGAGCGUUGUCCGGAUUCAUUGGGCGUAAAGCGCACGUAGGCGGCUUUGCAAGUCGGAUGUGAAAUCCCUCGGCUUAACCAAGGAAGUGCAUCCGAAACUGCAGAGCUUGAGUACUUAAGAGGAUCGCGGAAUUCCCGGUGUAGAGGUGAAAUUCGUAGAUAUCGGGAGGAACACCAGUGGCGAAGGCGGCGAUCUGGGAAGAUACUGACGCUGAGGUGCGAAAGCGUGGGGAGCAAACAGG